rnacentral:rRNA from 1 species
GAUGAACGCUGGCGGCGUGCUUAACACAUGCAAGUCGAACGGAAAGGCUCCUGCUUGCAGGGGUACUCGAGUGGCGAACGGGUGAGUAACACGUGGGUGAUCUGCCCUGCACUUCGGGAUAAGCCUGGGAAACUGGGUCUAAUACCGGAUAGGACGAUGGUUUGGAUGCCAUUGUGGAAAGUUUUUCGGUGUGGGAUGAGCUCGCGGCCUAUCAGCUUGUUGGUGGGGUAAUGGCCUACCAAGGCGUCGACGGGUAGCCGGCCUGGGAGGGUGUACGGCCACAAUGGGACUGAGGUACGGCCCAGACUCCAACGGGAGGCAGCAGUGGGGAAUAUUGCACAAUGGGCGCAAGCCUGAUGCAGCGACGCCGCGUGGGGGAUGACGGCCUUCGGGUUGUAAACUCCUUUCGUCAGGGACGAAGCGAAAGUGACGGUACCUGGAUAAGAAGCACCGGCUAACUACGUG